AUGAUGGGAGCUUGCUCCUGGAUUAGUGGCGAACGGGUGAGUAACACGUGAGUAACCUGCCCUUAACUCUGGGAUAAGCCUGGGAAACUGGGUCUAAUACCGGAUAUGACUCCUCAUCGCAUGGUGGGGGGUGGAAAGCUUUAUUGUGGUUUUGGAUGGACUCGCGGCCUAUCAGCUUGUUGGUGAGGUAAUGGCUUACCAAGGCGACGACGGGUAGCCGGCCUGAGAGGGUGACCGGCCACACUGGGACUGAGACACGGCCCAGACUCCUACGGGAGGCAGCAGUGGGGAAUAUUGCACAAUGGGCGCAACCCUGAUGCAGCGACGCCGCGUGAGGGAUGACGGCCUUCGGGUUGUAACCCUCUUUCAGUAGGGAAGAAGCGAAAGUGACGGUACCUGCAGAAGAAGCGCCGGCUAACUACGUGCCAGCAGCCGCGGUAAUACGUAGGGCGCAAGCGUUAUCCGGAAUUAUUGGGCGUAAAGAGCUCGUAGGCGGUUUGUCGCGUCUGCCGUGAAAGUCCGGGGCUCAACUCCGGAUCUGCGGUGGGUACGGGCAGACUAGAGUGAUGUAGGGGAGACUGGAAUUCCUGGUGUAGCGGUGAAAUGCGCAGAUAUCAGGAGGAACACCGAUGGCGAAGGCAGGUCUCUGGGCAUUAACUGACGCUGAGGAGCGAAAGCAUGGGGAGCGAACAGGAUUAGAUACCCUGGUAGUCCAUGCCGUAAACGUUGGGCACUAGGUGUGGGGGACAUUCCACGUUUUCCGCGCCGU
rnacentral:rRNA from 1 species